rnacentral:lncRNA from 1 species
GCAUGGCAGGACAGAGCUGGGGCCACUGCUGUGAGAAGUGUCAGCUCUGUGGCUCUUGCCUACCACCCACCAUACUUUCUGGGCCAGGUUGACAUGCCUCUCCCUCCAUGUUUAAAAAGCAGGAAGUGGGCAGCACAAGAUGCCUGCGUGGUCCCUUUCUACCUUCUUCUGUCUCCCAGCCAUAGCUCCCCUGGCUCCAGGGUCCCGGAGGGCAGUCUACCCAAGGGUCCUGGGGCCCCUACUUAUCUGCCACUUAAGGAGGCUAGGGUGGCCUGGGGACAGUGAAGCCCGCCAUUCCCCUGGUCUGCUGCUCAGGUGUCUGCUGCUCUCC